rnacentral:rRNA from 1 species
UACGUAGGUGGCAAGCGAUACUCGGAAUCACUAGGCGUAAAGCGCAGGUAGGCGGUUUGGUAAGUCUUUUGUGAAAGCUCCUGGCUCAACUGGGAGAGGUCAAAGGAAACUACCGGACUAGAGUGUGGUAGGGGAUACUGGAAUUCCUGGUGUAGCGGUGAAAUGCGUAGAUAUCAGGAGGAAUACCUAUGGCGAAAGCAGGUAUCUGGGCCAUCACUGACGCUGAGCUGCGAAAGCUAGGGGGAGCAAACAGG